rnacentral:lncRNA from 1 species
AUGGAAACUCUGACGACUUUAGCUGUCGAAAGCUUACGUGAACUUUUACUGUACCAAGUAAAAAAAAAAAAGAAAAAAAAAAAACUAUAUAAACGCUGGCUCGCAGCGAUAUUUUUCCAAUUAUCACCUUGGCAAGAUACAGUUCCCUGCUUCCAAAGCCGAGCUCUGCCUCUCCAGCACGGGUUUUGCACUCUCCCGAGCCGGCUCCCCUUCCCUCCCUCCUUCUCCCCAGCUUUCCAUGGGUUUAUACGAAUCUCCCACAAAAAUGCCCCCGGGUCUCUCCUCGCGGUGCUCGGCGCUGCCGGGCGGCGGGGCUGUGUCGGAGCCCACCCGCAUCCCCCGGGGCACCAGCGAGCCAGGGGGCAGCGGCAGCCGCUCCCCCCUGUCCUCCAGACGGGCUCGCAACCCUCUGUGAGAGGUAGCCCCCCGCCCAGCGCCUCGCUGAGAUGCCGCACAGUUGAGGAGAGGGCUGCGGAGCGGACCCUGGGGAUAGGGGGACAAGGAGAGGGUCCCCUGGACAGCGGCGGGGUCCGUGGAGCAGCUUUCCGGGGGAAAUCCCGGGGAAAUCCGGGGGAAAUCCGGGGGAAAUCCUCGCCCCCUGGCACCGGUGUCUCCUCCGACGUCCUGGGAGUAGUGCUUUGGGCGCACCACGGUCGUGCCUUCCCGGAUCACAAGGUUUUCCGAGGGGGACUAACCGGGAGAUGGGAAUUUGCAGCGAGUGGUGCAUGUAGCACACCGUUGUAUGACAUUAAAAAGCACCAGAUUAGGUGGCUACAUAGACAGCUUGUUUCGGGCACGAGUAUAAGCACGCUAAACUGGAACAAAUUCCUCCCUCCCCCGAGUGCCACGGAUGCUCGGGAAAACAUUUGCUCCUGGAAAUUCAUCGCCUUCUUCCCUGUAAGGGCUCCGUCAGGUUGUCAAAAGGCACCCACGGGGCAUUCCCUCUGUGUGUGCAGCACCGGGCAGAUCUCGGAGCUCAGGAGCAUGCAGACCUCAUCUAGUCCAUCUGGCCGUGAAAAUCUGUUCUUAAAUACGCGUGUGUUUUUGCAAGACGGGGUUUUGCAUUACCUGUUGACUGGGGACACGUAUACAGAGGAAGCUUUCGAUAUAAUGUUGUUUUCGCUCACAGUAAAUCCCAUAUGUUGCAGACAAAUUCUUACCAGCUGGGAGGGCCAGAGCAGUAAAAUCCAGUAA